rnacentral:lncRNA from 1 species
CAAAGAGAAUGAAAAUACAUAGUAACACAGAGCCAUGAGAAACCUGUGAUGUCUGAUUCUGAUCACGCACUGAUGAAAGCGUAAAGUUGAAAUGAGCUGCCCAGGUUCAUGCUGCAGGACAAAAUCUUAUGCUUCUGUGUCUAGCAGUGAAGUUUUAACCUCCUCAAUAUACAUCUUUGAACAAUAUAUAUUUUUCUGUCUACUAAAGACAUAAUGGCUGCUCCUUUUAUGGGAAACCAGGAUUUAAUCCAGUAAGUCUCUGAGAAUCAAUAUUCCUGUGAAAUGACACCAUGUUGAAGUUAUUUUAUGUUAUGUUGAUGGUUAGCUAAUUUUGUAAUGGAGACAUUUCUUGUAGAAGCAGACAUAGUAUAAUUUAGUGGUAAAAACGUCAAUCACAAGGGGUUGAACACUUAUGUCAGGGCAGGAAGAGGGCA